GAUGAACGCUGGCGGCGUGCCUAAUACAUGCAAGUCGAGCGAACAGACGAGGAGCUUGCUCCCCUGACGUUAGCGGCGGACGGGUGAGUAACACGUGGAUAACCUACCUAUAAGACUGGGAUAACUUCGGGAAACCGGAGCUAAUACCGGAUAAUAUAUUGAACCGCAUGGUUCAAUAGUGAAAGACGGUUUUGCUGUCACUUAUAGAUGGAUCCGCGCCGCAUUAGCUAGUUGGUAAGGUAACGGCUUACCAAGGCAACGAUGCGUAGCCGACCUGAGAGGGUGAUCGGCCACACUGGAACUGAGACACGGUCCAGACUCCUACGGGAGGCAGCAGUAGGGAAUCUUCCGCAAUGGGCGAAAGCUUGACGGAGCAACACCGCGUGAGUGAUGAAGGUCUUCGGAUCGUAAAGCUCUGUUAUUAGGAAAGAACAAAUGUGUAAGUAACUAUGCACGUCUUGACGGUACCUAAACAGAAAGCCACGGCUAACUACGUG
rnacentral:rRNA from 1 species